AUGAGAACCAAUCCUACUACUUCUCGUCCCGAGGUUUCCACAAUUGAAGAAAAAUGUACAUGUCGUAUCGAUCAAAUUAUUGGACCCGUGUUGGAUGUCCCUUUUCCCCCAGGCAAGUUACCUUAUAUUUAUAACGCUUUGGUAGUCCAUAGUAGAUAG
rnacentral:rRNA from 1 species